GGAGGGGUGGCCGAGUCCGGCUUAAGGCGGCGGUCUUGAAAACCGUUAGGCUCUGUGGGCCUCGCGAGUUCAAAUCUCGCCUCCUCCG
rnacentral:tRNA from 1 species